rnacentral:tRNA from 1 species
GUCCGGGUGGCGGAAUUGGCAGACGCGCUAGCUUGAGGUGCUAGUCCCCGUAUUAGGGGGUGGGGGUUCAAGUCCCCCCUCGGACA